AAAGUGAAAGCUUUUAAGCCAACAAACUAUUUUAUGAAAAUCCAUUAUUUUUCUCAAGUUCUCUUCAUUACCCAUUUGUCUUCUUCUGGCUCCUUUCUUGUUAGUGCUUGGUUCCAGAGAGUUCGAGUAGAAUUUACAUUUGGAUUUUUGAUUUCAGAGUGUUUUCUGACGAUUUCAGUUUUUGGGUCUUGUUUACAAUAAUGAUGUCUACAUACCAUAAUCUUGAUUUGGGAAUGACUGUUUUAGAUUUGGUUGCUUGUGGCUGUUUAUCCAGCUCUUCAUUCUACACCUAUAUAUCUAAUUAACUCCAAUUUUGUGGAGGACUAGCUACAAGGUAAAUUUUGAUAGCAUAGAUGUAUUAAAGAGAAGGCUACAAAAUGUUCUCAAUAACACAGAAUAAAUGUGAGAUGGAUACAAGAGCCAAUAAGAUGAUGCUUGCUUGGAGUGAAUCGUCAAGGCCCUUAUUGACACGACUGAUCAUGAAAUUUAUGCAAGCUUGACCUGCUGCUAUAAUGAGAAGUAUGAUAAGGGAAAAGGUGUUGUUGGCUCCCAGCUUCUGGGAGAAAGAGCACAAAUUAUUCUAGAUGAAGUUUGAGAUUUGUUCCUUUUUAAUCGAAUCCAAUGUCUAGAGCAUGUCGGUACUUUCUAUAUUCUUUGUGUUUUUGUAAUAUCUGUAUCUUUUUGAAGUGUAUUCCUUGUUAGAACUUAUAGUGUUAACUCUGUGAAUUCUCACUUUCUCCCAAAUAGGAGAGCAUUUCCAACCUAUUAUGCAGGGACUGGAAAAUGCAAGUCACUCUGCUGCAAGUGUCUGUAGCCUUCUAAUGUUGUUUUGGUAUGAGGCUAAUUAUAAUUAUUUGGUUAUGCGGUGGAACAAGACUAUUAGUUCUAGUUUCCAGUUUUAUUCUUUUAACGAUCAUGUUUAUAGUCUUCUUCUAAUCUCAUGACAAGUUCAAUUUGCUCAUGUUAGCUACAAUUCCUCAUUUAUUUUUUGUGUUUGCAUCUUGUUCCUAAAUAGUGAUUUUUACUUUUAACUUUUAUGAUGUGUUUUAUCUUUUCUUUUCUGGAAUUACCGAGCUUUUUUUUUUUCUUGUUGUUUCGAGUUUUAUCAUUCAUAGAUCAGACUUCAGUGACAGACAACCCAGAUUCCCUGCAAAAUCUUCAAGUCUUAUUACUCCCUGGUCACUUGAUUAUGCUUUAUAUGAAGGCCUUGAAAAGGUAGGAGACAGGCGCGGAAGGUGAAAACAGGGGAGAAGCAACUGGAAUUAUCAGGCACUACUGGAGUUUCGUGCACAAGUUUGAGCACAUUGGUUUUGAAGUUAUAGCUGAAAAUUGUG